rnacentral:lncRNA from 1 species
GUGGGAAUAGCCUGGGGUCAGUACCGGCUCAGGCCCGUCACCAGCAGGGGCAGCUGGGAAGCAAGGCCUGGGCCCGCGUGUCUUAGUGGGCCCCAAGGUGUGACAACGGGGGGCUGCCUGUCGGGCAAUUGUGCCCCCACCGCAGUUUCUCUUGAGCGGCCCUGCGUGACCACCACGACUCUGUAGCAUCUUUCAUUCCAGAGACAGUCACAGUUUGAUCCUGGUUCACUGUGAAUCCGAGGAUGCGCUCCAAACCCAGCUGUAACCACUUUCUAUGCCUUGCUCCCAGCAGCCCUCAGGCAGGUUAACCGGGUAAGCGCCGAGAUGGACUAUUUUAACAACGGUACAGGCGGCUUCUUAUCUCGUCUCCGGAUGGGGCUCCAAUUAGCGUUCCCUUUCUCAGCUCACAUCCCCUUCCUCCUUUCACUCUCCGCCCAGAAGCCUCUGAAGGUCUGCCAAGCCCCUCUGCCAAGGCCCAGAAGUGCAGCCUGUGUGCUCCUCCAAUAGCAUAUGCCCUCUGAGGGGCGAUCCACAGCGGCGACGGGGAACACAGACCGGGGUGACAGGUGUCGGCUCAGGUCCCACAUUUGCCACAUGACGGCUUGGGGGCCUUGUGCAGGUACUUUAUCUUUCUGGCCACCCUCUUGCUCGUUUGUGAAAUACGGGUAGCCAUGACCUCUACCUCGUGGGGUCAAAGGAGAGGAUGCACGUCCGCCCGAAACGUCCCCAGCACAAGGCGAUGCACCACCAUUGGCCUGACAUAUUGCUAACGUUGUUUGCAGUCCUGAGCUUAAUUAAUAAAAGGACUUCUGUUGCUGACUCCUAUCCAGUGUGGCUCACAUCCCUUUGGCUCAGCCUUGGGGUAUAUUUGUCCAUUGUGUGUUCUCAGUAUCUGCCGGUGUGAUCCUGAUGUCUCUCUUUUUCCUUCCUGAAUGCACACGACUAUUUUUAUUCUUGCGCAUUGACCCUCUGUCUCCUCCAGCUUUUCUGCAAAGUCUCUGCUUCUGGGAAUCAGUUAAAGGUUUCCAUUUUGGCGUUUUGGUUUUGUAGGGAUGCUGUGAGGCAAGAGAUAAGAAGCUGCUUUGUACCAUUGUUGAAAUAGUCCCUCUCUGAGCUUUAGCAGACGCCUCUUCUGGAUUCCUAGCAGUUCCGAGGAAGCUGGCGUAGCCGCAAAACUCUUUGAUCCUUGUUUCAUGAAAAGCCACAUACUGAAAGGUGACGGGAGUUCUGCGAUCUGAUUCGGAUCCUCAUUUGAUCCCCUCCCACCGGAAGGGAGAGAGAGGGUGCCGGCCCCCCUCUGGCAGGUUAAUCAUAAUAAUCAGCACAUCAUGUGAAUAUUCUGUGGCAUUCACUUGCCCAAGGAGAUUUCAUGCCCACUGUCUCACUUUUUAUAUUCAAACCAACUUGAGAGUAGGUUGGGUAAGAAUUAUAUAUGCUUCUUUUGGAAGAAACUGAAGUAGAGAGAAGUGAAUCACUUGCCCAAAUCAACCAAAAGGCCAGGGGCAGGGGCCAGAAACAGGCCUUGGAUUUCUUGGGAUUUCUGGCUCUUUGUUUCAUGCUAAAUGAACCAAGAAUCAGAACGAUGUUGACGACGCUGAGGCUGAACCCACGAACCCACCAGCCAAGACAUCCCCUAGGGAAGAGAGGUGGUGACCAAUGACACAUCCGGUAAACUUGACAGCGGUAAAGCCCUUCUUUUUUGCAGCCCUCCCUGCCCCCAUCGCAUGUGUGAUCUCCAGCUCGUCUCCAAGUUUUCCUGCUGAUUUCUACAGGUGAGGCAUCUCACCUGUGCUUGCAAACAAGCUCUCAGGCUCCACCCACUGUCUGCAGCUGCAAUAUCCAUAGGGAUCUCUUGUCCUGGUGGUCAAAUCUUAGAUCCGUCAACUCUGGAACUGCACCCAAACGCCUUCCCCUAAGGGCCGACUUGGAGGGUUGACUCCUUUUCUACCGUAUUUGUGGACAUUAAAUGGGUAGGGCCUGGUUUGCUCAAACUGUCUCCAUCCUGUUACAUCUUCAAACAGCCAAACCUAUGUACAAACAAGGAAAGGAACCAAGUCACGGUCACCUGCCCAGAAAGAUUAGAUUUUGCUCCAUGGGAAUGGGAGCCACUGAUCGCUGCUGCUAGUCUUGCCAAGUUCCCCGAGUUGGUCCAGGUAGUCCAAGAAUGGGGUGACUAGCCUUCUCCAGAACCUUACAGAGACUGAAAAGGGAUAAAUAUGGAUGUCACACCAGUGUUGACUCAGAGGUACCAGCAUCGUACAGCUUUCUGUUCUCAUUUUAGACCCUGCCCACUUAUAGUACAAUUUUAAGUUUCAACUCAGCAUGCCCCCUUAGGGACCAAAUACAAUUUCAAACCAAGCAUCACUGAGCGUGAAAUACCAGCACAGGAUACAAGUCUGGUUCCAACAGAAACGAUGCCAGAAACACUUGCAGCAAUCACUAAGGAGGCCAUCGGAAAGAGGGCUGAUGCUGACCUGCAGCCAAACAAGUCACAAUUAUUCUGAGUCUUAAAGGCAAACACGCCUCAAGGAAAAAAAAAUACACAACCUUAAAUGAUCAGUUUGCAACAAAGCUUUCCAAUAGGAAAGCCGAACGGAAGGAGCGACCUCAAAUAUAAACUACAAAAUGCAUCAAUUUCCAAACAAUGGAGCGGUGGUAUUAUCAGAUAAUUCAGUCCACCAGUGAACGUUCUACCUUACAGUGUUGGCAGCAGAGCCUCUAGAAAACCCAGCUGGAGAAACAGUUUUCAUUUUGGUCAGGAAAUUUGAGUGGAAAUCAGUUACCUUUGUUUAUAGGAUUUCAGUUCAUCUGCAUUUUGGAAGGACCGGGAUAGACUGUAAGUGAGAAUUGCAUCGUCCUAUUCCGAGUGCCCAGAACGCAUGUGGUGAGGCUGCAGUUAGACCCGGAGGAAAAGGGUAGAAUUUAAGUGCGCCAGAGCAAAUGCCCUGCUGUUCCUCACCUGCCGGGCGCAUCAUGCAGAUUUCACUUUGCCACCCGGUGGAGCUCUGCAGGCGACCCAUGUAAACUCAGUCCCAGAGUGUUUUAGCAGUGCGCUGAAGGGUGUUAAGCUCCAGGUUUGUAGCCUGUAGAGGUGGUUCUUUCUUGCUGUACAGGCUCUUGGCAGAUAGAGUGGGGAGCUGCCAAAGUGGGCUACCCCACGGCCCCUGAACUCCUGGUACUCCCAGUGCCUUUGGAGGGAUUUCUAUUUAAAACCAGAGUGACCCAGAAUAUGCCCUCCCCACAGCCAGCUGCCCAACCUCCGUCUUAUCUGCCCCAGUUCUCCUCUUAGCCGGCUGCCACGGUGUCAGCAGAAAUGUACAGACUGUUUUCCUCUCCAGUCUUUAUUUAUCUAAAUCCACUCAUCUUGGAAGGCUCAACUGUUUCGGGGAUGCCAUCUUUGCUUACUCCAAUCGAAACUGUUCUCUCUGGCUUAAAUUUUAUAUCCCUCGGGGCUGCACUAGGGAGGAGAGGAGUGGAUGUGAGAAGGUUUUUGUGCUCUUCCGUUAUAAUGCAAAACAGAAACAACCCUCACAUAUAAAAUUUCUGUACAAACAUCUUAUAAUUGUUAUUUAGAUGAUUUUUUAAGAAUAUCAAAAUUAGUAGUUCCCGUUGUGGCUCAGUGGUUAACCAACCUGACUAGCAUCCAUGAAGAUGCGUGUUUGAUCCCUGACCUCGCUCAGUGGGUUAAGGAUCCGGGGUUGCCGAGGGCUGUGGUGUAGGUUGCAGACGUGGCUUGGAUCCCACAUUGCUGUGGCUGUAACUGUGGCAUAGGCUGGUGGCUACAGCUCUGAUUUGACCCUUAGCCUGGGAACCUCCAUAUGUCGUAGGUUCAGCCCUAAAAAGACACACAAAGAAUAUAAAAAUAUUUUGGUAGCCUUGAUUUGAUGGUACUCAAGGCAUUGACAAUGCUGUCUGCUGGAUUAUCCACCUGUUUCCUUCACUAGACCAUUAGGAACUUUGGCUGAUUAAUGACUGCAUCUCAGAAGCCCAGAACAGCAUCCACGUGAAACAGGUUCUCAGUGCGUCCCACCGAAUGAAUAAAAGGGCCAUCUUCUAGCUGUCUUCAGUUAUUUAAGAACUUCAUGUGGUGGAUGUGCAAGUGGGAAUACCGGGGUGGGUUUCCCACUGUGCUUCUUCUUCCCCCUUUUUUUUUAAAAAUCUUUUUGGCCACACUGGUGGCAUGUGCAAGUUCCCGGGCCAGAGGUGGAACCUGAACCACAGCAGCAACCCGGGCCGAAGCAGUGACAACCCCAGGUCCUUAACCUGCUGCGCCGCAAAGGAACUCCAUCUCCUGUGCUUCUUAAGACAAAGACCUAACUACUGGGACUGAACACCUAAGUUUUCUGACGUUUAGAGUUGGUCAUUACCCCUAGUUAGCGUUAAUUAGUGUUGAACAUGACCCCUGGCAGCCUCAUAAAGCAGUGACCUCUCCUCAUCCGUGGACGCACUCAGAAUUAGGGCAGCGUCUGUCAGGGGACUCCUUACGGAAAGGAGCAAGCAGAAGGAUGCCCCCCACCCCACCCAUAUCCAUGUCCUAAUCCCUAGAAGCUGUGCGUGCUACAAGGCAAAAGGGACUUGGAGACGUGCUUAAGGUAAAGACCUUCAAACAGGGAGAUAAUCCUGGAUCACUGGUGGGGAAGGUGAGGACGCUCCAUCUAAUCACAUGUGUCCCUAAAAUCAGAGACCCCUUCCCUGCUGAGGUCAGAGUCAGAGGACGAUGGGAAGAACGGUCAGAGAGAUGCAGCACUGCUGGCUUUGAAGGAGAAAGGCGACACACAUCACGCAAUACAGUUAGCCUCUGAAAGGUAGGAAAGGCAAGAAAAGAUGCGCCCAGAAAAAGCCUCCAGAAAUGAACCAGCCCUGCUCUGAUUUUUUUCGACUUGUGUUCAGUUUUUGACUUCUGUUGGAAUUCUAAUGAACAGAGCUCCAAGAU